UUGCUCCAUGCAAAGGUCACCAUUUUUCCUGCAUCACUGCUCUCUCCAUGGAAAGAAUGGAAGAUGAGAAGCUAAACACCAUUGUAAGCAACGUGUUCAUGGUUUGGAAGGGGACAGAGGAAGACACCAGAAAAGAAAAAGGAAAGAGGGGAGGCCCCAAAAGCAUCCUCACCAAAAGCUCCAUGACUCUUUCUUUAGGAGUCAGAUCACAAGGUACCCGUCAGGACCACUGCUCCCAAUGGAGAGGAAGCUGUGGCACAGAUGUUGAAAGCCUGCUCUUCCAUUCAUGAAAGGAGCUGAUGUGAGGAAAGCGUUUGGUCUUGCCCAGCAUAACUUCUCAGUCCAGAGGAGGAAGUGUGGACCUGCAGAAGGCAGGCAAGGCUUACUCCAGGGUGGAAGAAUGUGCAAAGCCUCUGCAACUUGGUAGCAUCUCCCUAGCAUCUGCUCUCCCUGUGUACAGGAGAAAACUUGUUCUCAAAGAAAUGUGUGUGUGUGUGUGUGUGUGUGUGUGUGUGUGUGUGCGCGCACGCAUGUGUGUUAACAAACACUGAAUGGGAAAGGUGAGUUGAGGGGGGUCUGAGCUGUGAGUUUGCAGCCUCCCUGUGCAGGCGGUGAGUAGAUGGUAUAAUGAAUGAGA